rnacentral:misc_RNA from 1 species
GAGGGAGAACCUCACAGUACCUCCAACACCUCAACCUCCAAUGAUAGCUCUUCUGCCCCUGAGUCUCCGGCCACUCUCGGGGAUCCAGCUGAUAAUGCUAUGGAGUCUGACACCCCCAUCACCCACCCUGGAAAGUGGACGGUUACAGAGGUAUAUGAAUUCAUCAAGUCUAUGCCAGGCUGUUCCCCCUAUGCCGAUGAGUUCAAGUCACAGGAGAUCGAUGGACAAGCUCUGAUGCUACUGAAAGAGGACCACUUAAUGACCACCAUGAACAUGAAACUCGGGCCUGCUCUCAAAAUCUGUGCAAAAAUUAACGCUUUCAGGGGGGAUCUUAGUUAGAGGUGCAGCGUAAAAAAUUGUAUGGACAUUUGUAUGGACUUUUUAAAAUCAAAGAAAGGUUUUAUUUAUAGUCAGAUUUUUUAAUACCAUGACAUCAGAUCGUAACUGGGUUUUUUUUAUCUUCAAGACAAAUCCACCUAAACACCUGUUAUCUUUUGGUUGCUGAUUGUGUAUAACUUUUGUCUGAAAGCAUGUAAUUAUUUUUAUCAUUGACAAAUGUGUGAUGUUUUUUUGUGUGUAUACUACAUGCCAAUAUUUACUACAUGCCAGUAUUUACAUGUACUGUGAAUACCGGUACAUGACCUACGUUUAUUCAUUUACCGGUAUUUACCAUGUUAACGACUUUAAUCAUGAACAGUUAAUCAGUAAACAAUAUGAAAAUGUUAGCUUUUAAUGAUCUCAAUCUGACAUAUCUUAGGGUCAAUCAUAUUAAAACUGGGCAUGUGUUUCUAGAACUCAACUAAUGUUUAUGCUUGUAGUCAAAUUGGUGCAGACUAAUAUUUGAAAUGUUUUAUGAAGUAAAUGUACAAUUUAUAAAUAGAUUUUUUAAGGAUGCUGCCUGGAUUGCCAUUUCCUUUGUAAACACACAUACAAAGAUUAAGAUUUUUUUUAUGGUGCUUUUUUAUAUUUUAGCUUUAUAGGUCACAAUUUAAUUAUGUUAUCAUGUGAUGAACUCUUUUGUUUCAGAAGGUUUUUAAAAGUUUUUUGAACUUUGAGUCUGUGUUGUUAUGGUAUUUAAAUAUUGUGGUUUAAACAUUUUUGUAAAGAACUUGAAUGCUGUAUUUAAAACACCAGAAUGGAAACUACAUGUUUUGAAUUUUCCCCCAACUCUUCACUUGGUUCAUUCUAUAUCCAAAUUAAAGGAUUAAAAAA